GCAAUGGGCUAUACUGAUACGAGGUUCAAAGUCUCGCCAAGAAAGCAGCAGAAACUGUUGUCACUGUAAUUGAUGAGGAAGGUAUCGAGUCUUUACUGUCGGAGCUUCUCAAAGUGGUCUAUAUCUUGUUGAUGGGGCUCCAAAUGUGAUAUCCACCCUGAUUAUUUUACUAAGUGAUUCAGAUUCAGCUACCGUGACGAUUGCUUGGGAAGCAUUUGUCUAGUGUUAUAAGUUCAGUUCCUAAAGGAGUUCUUCCUUCGUAUAUAAAGUUGGUUCGUGAUGUAUACAAACAUGCAGGGAGGGACCAGUUCUAAAUUUCUAAUACCUGGUUUUUGCCUCCGGAAAGCUCUUCAACCUGUGCGUGCUUCCUAUU